UGCAGAAAUGUAUAUCAAUUGAUAUAAAAUUUAUAAAUUAUAUAAAACGAAUUAUUUUAUUUUAUUUUAUUUUAGACAAAAAUAAUUAAAAUUUAUUGUUAAAUUAGUUAAAUAAUAUAUCAUACACGAUAGGCAUUUUUUUUCUCUUAUAUUGAAAGAAAUGUCUAAACUCCCACAGGUGUGUAAAGAAUUAUAUUUAACAAUGUCUGAAGGCAAAUAGUACAAAACAGAAUUUGAAUCCAGUAAAAAAAUAUAAAUCAUCCAAUUCAGCCCCUUUGAGACCAUAUCCAAGAAUCAAAAAUCAAAUCAAAUAUAGGGACAGUAAAGAUGAAGUGGCACCACUAAAGAUCAUAAAGUUUCAACGAAAACAACCAUCGUCAAGACUAGCAACCUUACUGCCAACCCACAUGGCCUCCCAAAAUCUUAAAUAAGCUACAAUAUGUAAUUUUAAGUAUUAGUUGUAUGGUGAUUGACCACUCAAACCAACUUGUGCAUAUGUUGUGAGUUGAAUUUCAUCAAUAUUUGUAUUCAUCAUUCAAAGUUUUGAUGUUUUAGUGGUAAAAUUGUGCUAUUUUGAAGAAGGUGUCGGUCAUAACUUAAGCAGUAGAUCCAUUGCAAUGCAGUUAUAGGAUUUGGAAAGAAACUGAUAAACCCAACUUUUAAGGUUUAGACAGGAGGCUUAACCACAAUAAAAUAAUAUAUUAAUAUUCUAGACUGCAGUAAGAUUUCAUCAAAAAGAAAAAGCUAAAAUACAUAAAUUCAAAAUGUUUUUUUCUUUUAGGGCUAUUUGGAUGGGGUGAAGGAAGGGCAAUUAAUGGAGGGUUAAAUAAGGGUGAGACUCUCAGGGAAUUUGAAACCUGUCUGCAAUGGAUAUUAUAUGUUUGAUUUGGGAGAUUACAAUUUCUAAACUCCAUUUUUUCUAACCAAGUUAACAGGAUAAAAUCAAUACAAUAUUCAGUUGAUGAUCUCAUAAGUGACAAACCACGAGCGGGAUGCAACCUAGUUACUGGAGAUCAUUAGAGUUUCAGCAUUCAUUUUAACUUGAAAUAUAAAGAGCAUUAACGACUUAACCCACAAGUGCAAAUUGAAUCUAGUUUUUCCUAAUCCCAAAGAAAAAUAAAAAAUCAGAUUUUCCUGACCCUUUGACCUCCUAUUUUCCUUCCACUUGCACGCACAGAUUUCUCAUAGUUGACAGCUAGAGGAGGCUUCUUGUUCUCUUUGCUCAAGCUUCUCAAUGAGUACCUGGGAUUCUCACUCCUCUCCACAUAGUANNNN
rnacentral:lncRNA from 1 species